GAGUUUGAUCUUGGCUCAGGAUGAACGCUGGCGGCGUGCUUAACACAUGCAAGUCGAACGGAGAGCUCAUGACGGAGUUUUCGGACAACGGAUUGAGUUUCUUAGUGGCGGACGGGUGAGUAACGCGUGAGGAACCUGCCUUGGAGUGGGGAAUAACAGUCCGAAAGGACUGCUAAUACCGCAUAAAGCAGCUGAGUCGCAUGACUCUGGCUGCCAAAGAUUUAUCGCUCUGAGAUGGCCUCGCGUCUGAUUAGCUGGUUGGCGGGUAACGGCCCACCAAGGCGACGAUCAGUAGCCGGACUGAGAGGUUGGCCGG
rnacentral:rRNA from 1 species